GUAAGCUUUGAACGUUGAGAAAACUAAUAAAAUAAACAAAGGGAUUUGGGGUGCAUUGAAAACAUCAAUGCUAUCGCCAGUUUUGCGACCUUCCCCAAGUAAGCAGCAGCUGCAGAAGAAGAAGAAAACACAGCUGCCAAAAAUCAACCAUGAAAGCUCUUCUCAAUCCAGAACCUUCCGCUUUCACCUCCAUAUCUUCCAUUUCCACCGCUAAACCUCGAAACCUCACUCACUCUCAUACCCAAGCAUUCCUCAAGCUCCCUGCAAACAACGGCCACCUUUCCAACGGAAGAAGACUUGCCUUGACCACCAGAGCCACAUUGGACUCGGUCAAGAUCGAUCAAUCAGGGAUUUCAGAGACCGAUAUCCGAAAUCCGACGGUUUCUUCGUCGUAUCGGAGCUCUAAUCUUCCGAAGCCGAACCAGACGGUGCUGGACGCUCAGGCUAGGGUUUGCACCGGCCCCACCCAGACCAGACCUCUCGGAGAAGACCAGGCCUUCAAGGUUCUCGACACCAUAUACAGAUCAGUCAAGGGAGAGCUGAUAGAUGAAGAGCCGGUGUCGAAAUCACAGCUCGGAGCAUUUUUCGCGGCGAUGGCAAUUCGCGCUAAUGCUUUUCCGGAAGGGACGCAAUGGAGCGAAGGCGAGAGUCGCGCAAUGAACCAGUUCUGGCCGCUUCUGGUUCGAGCCCUUCCGGCGGACGUGGUGUUCAUAGCGGACCCGGAAGGCUCGUUAAUGGGCACGGGAAGCUCAAUUGGGCCCCAAUUCGUCGGUAACGGCACGAGGGAGAUGAGAUUGGUCGGUGUCCUCCGGGAGGUUUUGGCCGGCGGCCACCUUGGAUUUGAAGAAGUUCAAGGUGUUCUGCGAGAUGUUCUUCCAUUGAAAUCAAUGGAGGAUGGGACGUCCACAGGUGUAAGUGAAGCAUUGCUUUCGGCAUUGUUGAUAGGCCAGCGUAUGAACAGAGAAACUGACCGCGAGUUGAAAGCUUACUGCCUGGCAUUUGAUGAUGAACUUGGUGCCACUCCAAUUGCUGAUGUUAAGUCUCUCACUCAUUAUGGCGAACCUUAUGAUGGAAACACACGUUUCUUUAGGAGCACAUUGUUUGUUGCUGCAGUUCGAUCUUGCUAUGCUGAAUCUUCCUUGCUUCAUGGCGUGGAAUGGAUGCCACCCAAGGGAGGUGUUACUGAAGAACAAAUGCUUAAGUUUAUGGGGGCAAAUACAAGCCUAACCCCAUUGCAGGCAAAAAUACUUCUUGAGGAUGACGAAAUUGGUUUUGCCUAUAUAAGCCAACGUGAAGCCCGCCCUUCUCUGUAUUCAUUAGUUAAGUUGAGAGAGCAUAUUAAGAAACGCCCCCCCCUGGCAACAACCGAAAAGGUUCAGCAAUUUGUGAAGGCCCGUGGGAAGGAAGCAAUUGUUACUGGAUUUUAUCAUGAAGGUUAUGAGGAGCCGCUCUUAAUGCUUAUGAAAAGAAGAGGUGUUAAUUCUGGCUUGGUUGUGAAGGGUGAGGAAGGAGCCCUCUCAAUGACAACAAGAUUACGAUCAGUAAAUUCAUCAAGAGGAAUUCCUGUAAACUACUGUUCAGGGUUCCGCUCACUGAGCAUGGCAUCUGCUUGUGAAGUUGAUGGGGUUUCACGCGAGAGUUUUAGUCUAGAGGUUAAUGCCAGAGACUAUGGUUUUGAACCCACUGACACUCCAAGAACUGAUAGAUCGGUCUCGAAGAAUAUAGAGUUGGGCUUAACAGCACUUCGUGGUAACAAGGGACCAGCUUAUGAUAGAAUAGUCUUAAAUGCUGGAAUGGUUGAUCACUUACUUGGAUGUGAUGGUGCAGAAGACAUAUAUGUGGCCCUAGAUAGAGCCAGAGAAGCUAUUGACAGUGGAAAGGCUCUAAAAAGGCUCUUGGAUUACAUAAAGAUAUCCAACGAAGUGGGAUAGCCCCCGGAAUUUGUUUUCAAGAGAUAAGUAUAUGUUGUGAUAAAGGAGGAGCAGAGGAAUAUGUUUUAGUAUUUCUCAAACUACAGGUUGAAAGAAGGCCUACUUCCCAAUGUUUUGUAUGUGUGGUGGAGAAAUGUUGUAAAAUUUUGCUCGUCUAUGCGUUGAUUUGUUAUUUGAGUUAUAAAUUUUUGAAACAUAUAUACCUAUGAGGCUCGCCAAUCCAAGAAUAAAGGUCAGGUUGCAGUGACGGGGAGUGAAAAUACGAAGUGAAUUUAUUUUUUGGUGUCGUAAACUACGAAGUGGUUUGUACGGUGUCUAUCAGCCAUUUUAUUGAUAUGAUAACCUUGAAAAAAGUUGCUAUUCAUGAUGAAAAGUUAUUUUGUGUAUUUCGUA